rnacentral:rRNA from 1 species
UACGGGGGGUGCGAGCGUUGUCCGGAAUCACUGGGCGUAAAGGGCGCGUAGGUGGCAUGAUAAGGGUGUGGUGAAAGCCCGGGGCUCAACCCCGGGUCGGCCAUGCCGACUGUCAAGCUGGAGUACUGUAGGGGCAGGCGGAAUUCCGGGUGUAGCGGUGGAAUGCGUAGAGAUCGAGAGGAACACCUGCGGCGAAGGCGGGUAGCUGGGCCGACACUGACGCUGAGGCGCGAAAGCUAGGGGAGCGAACGGG